GUUGUAUAGUCAAGUAAUUAAGUGCAUGUGGUGGAUGCCUUGGCAGUCAGAGGCGAUGAAAGACGUGAUAGCCUGCGAAAAGCUCCGGGGAGGCGGCAAAUAUCCUUUGAUCCGGAGAUGUCUGAAUGGGGGAACCCACCUACUUUAAGGUAGGUAUUGCAACAUGAAUACAUAGUGUUGCAAGGCGAACGAGGGGAAGUGAAACAUCUCAGUACCCUUAGGAAAAGAAAUCAAUUGAGAUUCCCUCAGUAGCGGCGAGCGAACGGGGAUCAGCCCAUUAAGUUAUGUGUGUUUUAGUGGAACGCUCUGGGAAGUGCGAACGUAGAGGGUGAUAUUCCCGUACACGAAAGGGCACACAUAAUGAUGACGAGUAGGGCGAGGCACGUGAAACCUUGUCUGAAUAUGGGGGGACCAUCCUCCAAGGCUAAAUACUCCUGACUGACCGAUAGUGAACCAGUACCGUGAGGGAAAGGCGAAAAGAACCCCUGUGAGGGGAGUGAAAUAGAUCCUGAAACCGCAUGCAUACAAGCAGUGGGAGCACCUUCGUGGUGUGACUGCGUACCUUUUGUAUAAUGGGUCAGCGACUUAUAUUCAGUAGCGAGGUUAACCGUAUAGGGGAGCCGUAGAGAAAUCGAGUCUUAAUAGGGCGUUUAGUUGCUGGGUAUAGACCCGAAACCAGGCGAUCUAUCCAUGAGCAGGUUGAAGGUUGGGUAACACUAACUGGAGGACCGAACCCACUGUCGUUGAAAAGCCAGGGGAUGACUUGUGGAUAGGGGUGAAAGGCUAAUCAAGCCUGGUGAUAGCUGGUUCUCCCCGAAAGCUAUUUAGGUAGCGCCUCGGACGAAUACCAUAGGGGGUAGAGCACUGUUUCGGCUAGGGGGUCAUCCCGACUUACCAAACCGAUGCAAACUCCGAAUACCUAUGAGUACUAUCCGGGAGACAGACUGCGGGUGCUAACGUCCGUAGUCAAGAGGAAAACAAUCCAGACCGCCAGCUAAGGCCCCAAAAUCAUAGUUAAGUGGGAAACGAUGUGGGAAGGCAUAGACAGCUAGGAGGUUGGCUUAGAAGCAGCCACCCUUUAAAGAAAGCGUAAUAGCUCACUAGUCGAGUCGGCCUGCGCGGAAGAUGUAACGGGGCUAAAACUAUGUGCCGAAGCUGCGGAUGUAUACUUUGUAUACGUGGUAGGGGAGCGUUCUGUAAGCCGAUGAAGGUGUGUUGAGAAGCAUGCUGGAGGUAUCAGAAGUGCGAAUGCUGACGUGAGUAACGACAAAACGGGUGAAAAACCCGUUCGCCGAAAGACCAAGGGUUCCAGUCCAACGUUAAUCGGGGCUGGGUGAGUCGACCCCUAAGGCGAGGCCGAAAGGCGUAGUCGAUGGGAAAAUGGUUAAUAUUCCAUUACUUCUGUGUAAUGCGAUGAGAGGACGGAGAAGGCUAAAUCAGCCUGGCGUUGGUUGUCCAGGUGAAAGGAUGUAGGCAUGUAUCUUAGGCAAAUCCGGGGUACUCUAUGCUGAGAUCUGAUAGCAAGCUGUACUUGUACAGCGAAGUGGUUGAUGCCAUGCUUCCAGGAAAAGUCUCUAAGCUUCAGUUACACAGGAAUCGUACCCGAAACCGACACAGGUGGUCAGGUCGAGUAGACCAAGGCGCUUGAGAGAACUCUGCUGAAGGAACUAGGCAAAAUGGUACCGUAACUUCGGGAGAAGGUACGCUGUUGUUGGUGAUGGAACUCGCUUCCUGAGCUGACGACAGCCGCAGAAACCAGGCCGCUGCAACUGUUUAUUAAAAACAUAGCACUCUGCAAACACGAAAGUGGACGUAUAGGGUGUGAUGCCUGCCCGGUGCUGGAAGGUUAAUUGAUGGGGUUAGCGUAAGCGAAGCUCUUGAUCGAAGCCCCAGUAAACGGCGGCCGUAACUAUAACGGUCCUAAGGUAGCGAAAUUCCUUGUCGGGUAAGUUCCGACCUGCACGAAUGGCAUAAUGAUGGCGGCGCUGUCUCCAGCAGAGGCUCAGUGAAAUCGAAAUCGCUGUGAAGAUGCAGUGUACCCGCGGCUAGACGGAAAGACCCCGUGAACCUUUACUGCAGCUUGACACUGAACUUUGACCUUACUUGUGUAGGAUAGGUGGGAGGCUUUGAAGCUGGAACGCUAGUUCCAGUGGAGCCGUCCUUGAAAUACCACCCUGGUAAUGUUGAGGUUCUAACUCUGUCCCGUGAUCCGGGACGAGGACCGUGUCUGGUGGGUAGUUUGACUGGGGCGGUCUCCUCCUAAAGAGUAACGGAGGAGUACGAAGGUGCGCUCAGCGUGGUCGGAAAUCACGCGUAGAGUAUAAAGGCAAAAGCGCGCUUAACUGCGAGACCCACAAGUCGAGCAGGUACGAAAGUAGGUCUUAGUGAUCCGG
rnacentral:rRNA from 1 species